rnacentral:rRNA from 1 species
GAUGAACGCUGGCGGCGUGCCUAAUACAUGCAAGUCGAGCGAACAGAUGAGGAGCUUGCUCCUCUGACGUUAGCGGCGGACGGGUGAGUAACACGUGGAUAACCUACCUAUAAGACUGGGAUAACGUCGGGAAACCGGAGCUAAUACCGGAUAAUAUAUUGAACCGCAUGGUUCAAUAGUGAAAGACGGUUUUGCUGUCACUUAUAGAUGUAUCCGCGCCGCAUUAGCUAGUUGGUAAGGUAACGGCUUACCAAGGCAACGAUGCGUAGCCGACCUGAGAGGGUGAUCGGACACACUGGAACUGAGACACGGUCCAGACUCCUACGGGAGGCAGCAGUAGGGAAUCUUCCGCAAUGGGCGAAAGCCUGACCGAGCAACGCCGCGUGAGUGAUGAAGGUCUUCGGAUCGUAAAACUCUGUUAUUAGGGAAGAACAAAUGUGUAAGUAACUAUGCACGUCUUGACGGUACCUAAUCAGAAAGCCACGGCUAACUACGUG